AAAGUCGUAACAAGGUUUCCGUAGGUGAACCUGCGGAAGGAUCAUUAACACAAAAAACAAUCCCAUAUCCACCCCUUUUUAUAACGAACUAUGAUUUUUCUCCUCUGUAUUACCCUCUUAUUUUUACCCCAAACAAACCAUAACAAACAUGCGAUAGACUGAUAUUUAUUUAUCAAAGAUAAUAAUCAAUGAUACAUAAAACAACUCUUAGCAACGGAUAUCUUGGCUCUC
rnacentral:misc_RNA from 1 species